GUCCACGCCCUAAACGAUGUCAACUGGUUGUUGGGGAAGGCAACUUCCUUAGUAACGAAGCUAACGCGUGAAGUUGACCGCCUGGGGAGUACGGCCGCAAGGUUAAAACUCAAAGGAAUUGACGGGGACCCGCACAAGCGGUGGAUGAUGUGGAUUAAUUCGAUGCAACGCGAAGAACCUUACCUACCCUUGACAUGCCAGGGAGCUUGCUGAGAGGCGAGUGUGCCCGAAAGGGAACCUGGACACAGGUGCUGCAUGGCUGUCGU
rnacentral:rRNA from 1 species